UGGCAAGCUGCGUGGGUGUCAGAGCACUUCAUUACGACACUUUUCUGACUCAUCGUAGGAAUGGCACAGUGAGCAAGAAGGUGCCGCAGCGCGGUGAUGACUAGAUUAAAUUGGAAUCACACCCAAAUGAUUUGUUCUGUAGAUUGGCGAAUCCAAGGCAUGAUGCAUUUGCUUCCGAGGGGCUUGCUUUUUCCUAACACGGCAUCCGAGGAGCAUUCCAAAGUACAUCUACACAACUCGUCCUUCGGGUCAUCUGCUAUGAGUUUGCUGUGCAUGUUGUGUCCGGUCCCGGCAACUUGAGCUAUUCGGCAAACUUUGGAAUGCAACAGGCGGACACAUUCAUUCAUGUGCACAAGGAAGACCCAAGGGUUAACCCGGAUCUCUCUCUUCUCGGAUUCCUGCUGCUAGUUUGCAAGAGUCUGUACAAACACAAUCUCUCAUGUGGUGUUGAAAGUGUCCUUUGGAUCGUUGCAAUCUUGUGGGUCAACGUGACAUGAAUAAGCACCGUGAAUAGCUCCGACUCGAAUUGAGGCUUGCAUCUAAUGCCGCCGGAUAGCUGGCCAUCACAUACACGACAAUCUUGUGGUAUCUUAGUUUCGUCUAAACUCUGUCCCCUGAAUUUUUUUUAAUUUGUUUUUAUUUUUGUUAUUUUUGAAGGUACACACAGUAGGGUAUUCACACUGAACAGAUUCAAUUAGAAAAAACAUUUACAUAGAAACUUAGAUCUAGUAGCUAAGAUGAGAGGAAAAUCUAAUAUAUUAAGAGUUUAUUUUACAAAAACAAAACACGAUUAGUUUUGUUCUUAUCGACAAUGAUUAGAUUGCAAAUAAAAAUUACGAUUGGUUUUAUUUCA